CAGACCGCNGGGGCGGCCGUCCCUNCAGUCCCUCGCUUGUUCGCGCCUUCGGGCCUUAGAGNGGCGCGCGNUGCCUGUGCCAUAUACCCGGUCCCUUGGGAAGCAGACGAGACCCACACGACAGUCCGCCCCCGCCCGCCUUGUCGGGCGNGGGGCGGCCGNGGCGCGGGNGUCGCGCGCCCCCGGACAAAGCGGCCGUCAGGCCCUCGUCCCGGUGGGGCUCCNGANGUCCCGNGAGCGCUCUGGGAUGCGGCGGAUGCCGCGGGNUUCGGGGACAUUUUUCCCNGACCCGGACCUCGGUCGGUUGUAGAGCCGCCCUUGUAGAGAAGAAGGNGGGCACGCUCGUNGGAGCCCCUUCCGCCCCCCGGGGGCGNGCGGGCGCCCCGGCGGCGGCGCCGGCGU
rnacentral:misc_RNA from 1 species